UACAGAGGGGGCAAGCGUUGUCCGGAAUUACUGGGCGUACAGCGCGCGCAGGCGGUCCUGGACGUGCCGUGUGACAUCCGUCGGCUCAACCGACGGAGGCCAGGGUACACGACAAGACUGGAGACAGAGAGAGGGAUGUGGAAUACCCGGUGGAGCGGUGAAAUGCGUAGAGAUCGGGUGGAACACCAGGGGCGAAGGCGGCAUCCUGGCUCUGUUCUGACGCUGAGGCGCGAGAGCGUGGGGAUCAAACAGG
rnacentral:rRNA from 1 species